CGUAGGGACCAAGCGUUGUUCGGAAUUACUGGGCGUAAAGGGCGCGUAGGCGGCAAUUUAAGUCAUCUGUGAAAUCUCCGGGCUUAACUCGGAAUGGUCAGGUGAUACUGCUUUGCUAGAGUGCAGAAGGGGCAAUCGGAAUUCUUGGUGUAGCGGUGAAAUGCGUAGAUAUCAAGAGGAACACCUGAGGUGAAGACGGGUUGCUGGGCUGACACUGACGCUGAGGCGCGAAAGCUAGGGGAGCAAACGGGAUUAGAUACCCCCGGUAGUCCUAGCCCUAAACGAUGAAUACUUGGUGUCUGGAGUUUUAUAGUCUCCGGGUGCCGUAGCUAACGCGUUAAGCAUCCCGCCUGGGGAGUACGGUCGCAAGACUG
rnacentral:rRNA from 1 species